rnacentral:rRNA from 1 species
UACGGGGGGGGCAAGCGUUGUUCGGAAUUACUGGGCGUAAAGGGUUUGUAGGUGGCCGAUUAAGUCAUACGUGAAAUCCCUCAGCUUAACUGGGGAACUGCGUCUGAUACUGGUUGGCUUGAGUGCAGGAGAGGAACGCGGAAUUCCAGGUGUAGCGGUGAAAUGCGUAGAGAUGUGGAGGAACACCAAUGGCGAAGGCAGCCCCCUGGGCUCAAAUUGACGCUGAGGCACGAAAGCGUGGGGAGCAAACAGG